GGGGUUGAAGUUACUGAGGUGGUAACGCUGGCUUUUGUCAGAAGCGCAGGUUCGAUUCCUGCCAAUCCUA
rnacentral:tRNA from 1 species